UCCUGUGUGGCUCAGUUGGUAGAGCAUGGUGUUUGCAACGCCAGGGUUGUGGGUUCGUUUCCCACUGGGGGAC
rfam:Salmo salar isolate Sally breed double haploid chromosome ssa03, whole genome shotgun sequence.